UUCUACUUCUCACUCAUGAU
rnacentral:snRNA from 1 species